CGGUCAACCUUGAGAGUGCCGACGAAACCGGUUUUCUUGAGUGCGGAUGAAGUAGGCGGAAUUUGUGGUGUAGCGGUGAAAUGCGUAGAUAUCACAAAGAACACCGAUUGCGGAGGCAGCUUACUAAACCGCAACUGACGCUCAUGCACGAAGGCGUGGGGAUCAAACAGGAUUAGAUACCCUGGUAGUCCACGCAGUAAACGAUGAUUACUAGCUGUUUGCGAUACAAUGUAAGCGGCUGAGCGAAAGCGUUAAGUAAUCCACCUGGGGGGUACGUUCGCAAGAAUGAAACUCAAAGGAAUUGACGGGGGCCCGCACAAGCGGAGGAACAUGUGGUUUAAUUCGAUGAUACGCGAGGAACCUUACCCGGGCUUGAAAUGCAUCUGACGGGCUGGAAACGGUCUUUCCAGCGAUGGGCAGAUGUGUANGUGCUGCAUGGUUGUCGCAGCUCGUGCCGUGAGGUGUCGCUUUAAGUGCC
rnacentral:rRNA from 1 species